rnacentral:misc_RNA from 1 species
GAUGAAGAACGCAGCGAAAUGCGAUAAGUAAUGUGAAUUGCAGAAUUCAGUGAAUCAUCGAAUCUUUGAACGCACAUUGCGCCCCCUGGUAUUCCGGGGGGCAUGCCUGUCCGAGCGUCAUUUCUGCCCUCCAGCCCGGCUGGGUGUUGGGCGCUGUCCCCCCGGGGACACGCCCCAAAGGCAGUGGCGGCGCCGCGUCGGGUCCUCGAGCGUAUGGGGCUUUGUCACCCGCUCGGGACGGACUCGUCGGCGCUGGUCUUCCUCCAGGCGACCCUUCGGGGCUCGUCUUCCUUCGGUUGACCUCGGAUCAGGUAGGGUUACCCGCUGAACUUAAGCAUAUCAAUAAGCGGAGGA